rnacentral:rRNA from 1 species
AUGAACGCUAGCGGCAGGCUUAACACAUGCAAGUCGAGGGGCAGCACGAUGAGUAGCAAUACGAAUUGGUGGCGACCGGCAGACGGGUGCGCAACGCGUAUACAACCUACCCUUGAAAGGGGAAUAACCCGGAGAAAUUCGGACUAAUACCCCGUAAGUAUUCGAUUGGCAUCGAUUGAAUAUGAGAGAUUUAUCGUUCAAGGAUGGGUAUGCGUGACAUUAGGAAGUUGGUGAGGUAACGGCUCACCAAUCCGACGAUGUCUAGGGGUUCUGAGAGGAAGGUCCCCCACACUGGUACUGAGACACGGACCAGACUCCUACGGGAGGCAGCAGUGAGGAAUAUUGGUCAAUGGACGAGAGUCUGAACCAGCCAUGCCGCGUGCAGGAAGAAUGCUCUAUGAGUUGUAAACUGCUUUUAUACAAGAAUAAUAAGCACGACGUGUCGUGUGAUGGAUGUAUUGUAUGAAUAAGGACCGGCUAACUCCGUGCCAGCAGCCGCGGUACAACAUAGCGAUAUGAAGCUAAUCUCAAAAAGCCAUUCUCAGUUCGGAUCGCAGGCUGAAACUCGCCUGCGUGAAGUUGGAUUCGCUAGUAAUCGCACAUCAGCCAUGGUGCGGUGAAUACGUUCCCGGGCCUUGUACACACCGCCCGUCAAGCCAUGGAAGUUGGGGGUGCCUGAAGUACGUGUGCGUCACAGCAG